rnacentral:snoRNA from 1 species
UUUCGUGAUGAUAAAGGCCCAAUGGUCCGAUCUAACAACCCAGCUCGUCGAAUGCCUCGCCAUCAACGCAGAGUGCAUCUUGAGAUAAGAACCCCAUUCUGACAU